GCAAGUCGAACGAGAAAGGGAUUGCUUGCAAUCCUGAGUAGAGUGGCGCACGGGUGAGUAACACGUAGAUAAUCUACCUUCAAGCCCGGGAUAACUAUUCGAAAGGAUGGCUAAUACCGGAUGAAGUAUUUCGACACAGGUCGACAUAUGAAAGAUUGCCUCUUCUUGAAAGCAAUUGUUUGGAGAUGAGUUUGCGGACCAUUAGUUUGUUGGUGGGGUAACGGCUCACCAAGGCUGCGAUGGUUAGCUGGUCUGAGAGGAUGAUC
rnacentral:rRNA from 1 species